GGAGAGGUGGCCGAGCGGUUUAAGGCACCAGUCUUGAAAACUGGCAUACCCAAACAGGGUGUCGUGGGUUCGAAUCCCACCCUCUCCG
rnacentral:tRNA from 1 species